rnacentral:rRNA from 1 species
GACGAACGCUGGCGGCGUGCUUAACACAUGCAAGUCGAACAGUGGCGAAAGGGUGAUUCACACGUGUGUCACCUGCCCUUCACUUUGGGAUCACUCCGAGAAAUCGGGGCUAAUACUGGAUAGUGGGGGAUGGGCUCGCGGCCUAUCAGUUUGUUGGUGUGGUAGUGGCCACAAAGGCGGGACGGGUAGCCGGCCUGAGAGGGCGACCGGCCAAACUGGGACUGAGAGACGGCCCAGACUCCUACGGUAGGCAGCAGUGGGGAAUAUGGCACAAUGGGCGAAAGCCUGAUGCAGCGACGCCGCGUGGGGGAUGACGGCCUUCGGGUUGUAAACCGCUUUCAGCAAUGAAGCGGUACUUGCAGAAGAAGCACCGGCUAACUACGUGCCAGCAGCCGCGGUAAUUC